rnacentral:rRNA from 1 species
AAAGUGGGGGAUAACAUUUGGAAACAGAUGCUAAUACCGCAUAAAACCUAGCACCGCAUGGUGCAAGGUUGAAAGAUGGUUUCGGCUAUCACUUUAGGAUGGACCCGCGGUGCAUUAGUUAGUUGGUGAGGUAAAGGCUCACCAAGACCGUGAUGCAUAGCCGACCUGAGAGGGUAAUCGGCCACACUGGGACUGAGACACGGCCCAGACUCCUACGGGAGGCAGCAGUAGGGAAUCUUCCACAAUGGACGAAAGUCUGAUGGAGCAACGCCGCGUGAGUGAAGAAGGUUUUCGGAUCGUAAAACUCUGUUGUUGGAGAAGAACGUAUUUGAUAGUAACUGAUCAGGUAGUGACGGUAUCCAACCAGAAAGCCACGGCUAACUACGUGCCAGCAGCCGCGGUAAUACGUAGGUGGCAAGCGUUGUCCGGAUUUAUUGGGCGUAAAGCGAGCGCAGGCGGUUUCUUAAGUCUGAUGUGAAAGCCUUCGGCUCAACCGAAGAAGUGCAUCGGAAACUGGGAAACUUGAGUGCAGAAGAGGACAGUGGAACUCCAUGUGUAGCGGUGAAAUGCGUAGAUAUAUGGAAGAACACCAGUGGCGAAGGCGGCUGUCUGGUCUGUAACUGACGCUGAGGCUCGAAAGCAUGGGUAGCAAACAGGAUUAGAUACCCUGGUAGUCCAUGCCGUAAACGAUGAGUGCUAGGUGUUGGAGGGUUUCCGCCCUUCAGUGCCGCAGCUAACGCAUUAAGCACUCCGCCUGGGGAGUACGACCGCAAGGUUGAAACUCAAAGGAAUUGACGGGGGCCCGCACAAGCGGUGGAGCAUGUGGUUUAAUUCGAAGCAACGCGAAGAACCUUACCAGGUCUUGACAUCCUUUGACCACUCUAGAGAUAGAGCUUUCCCUUCGGGGACAAAGUGACAGGUGGUGCAUGGU